CAGCAGUCGCCGCGGUAACACGGAGGAUCCAAGCGUUAUCCGGAAUCAUUGGGUUUAAAGGGUCCGUAGGCGGUCUUGUAAGUCAGUGGUGAAAGCCCAUCGCUCAACGGUGGAACGGCCAUUGAUACUGCAGGACUUGAAUUAUUGGGAAGUAACUAGAAUAUGUAGUGUAGCGGUGAAAUGCUUAGAGAUUACAUGGAAUACCAAUUGCGAAGGCAGGUUACUACCAAUUGAUUGACGCUGAUGGACGAAAGCGUGGGUAGCGAACAGGAUUAGAUACCCCUGUAGUCCCUGUCUCUUAUAA
rnacentral:rRNA from 1 species